UGUUUAUCGAAAAAGAAAAUCAGACAGACCUCCUCAUUCUAAUUAACAAUUUGUUUCUUUGGAUUUGGACGGUCCCCAGAGAGAAAAAUAUGAUUUUUCCAAUGAAAUAUUUUUCGGACAAAAAUUUAAAGCGAAUUUUCCACCAAAAAUUUUCAGCAUUUUUUAAUACAAAACAAAUAUGAUUUGCAAAAUUAUAUUUUUCUCUCAGUGCACUACAGGAUGUGGUUAAAUAAUAGUUAUUGAAAUUAUUUUCCCCCCGUUACAACAAUUCAACAUUGAGGGAAGUUUUAUGAUGCACGAUAUGUCUGUGACGACUGUAGUGUUAUGUACGAGAACGUGUUUCACGUCAGCGAAAACGCGCCCGAGUAAACUCAGGGCUGGAGAAACCGAGUCCUCCGUGGGUCAGUGCACAGGAGGAGCGACAUUGCCAGUAUCGCGUUGUAGAUCGCCGGCGAUGGCAGCAGAGCACUCAUGACACGCGACACUCGUUCACAGUUGGUAUCGAUUUUCUCAGGAUGUUGCCCUCUUACUUUCAUUAUCACGUUCAAGUUCGUAAGCGUUAUCUCCCAUGAAGUCAUUAGCCACUUCAGCCACUGGUAAUUAUUCCAAGUUGUUCUCGAUUUCACCGAAAAACAGGGAAAAAUGUACGUAAAUAUUUGUUUUAGUUUCUCCAUUCAUUUGACUCGUAAUUAUUCGGGUCAGAUCGCGUGCUCCCAAGGCGUCUGUAAUCUCAGGGUGGUACAUACCAAUACGGCUAACGUAGAGAACUGACAACCCAUGGGGUACGAGGCCACAGACAAAAAUAAAUGACGCCCCCUUGCAUAGUGAGAUAUCUUAUGAGCCCCAUACCGUGGCUCAGUCUCGUCGCGUCUUUCAUGGUGAAAUAAACCGCUCAAAUUUUAGUUACCGAGCUUACUUGUAUGGAUAAGCGUAAAAAAGCCCACUGAAUUCUUGGAUGACAAGUGUAGUUGUGAAUCUGUUGCGUCAUUCCUACAUAUUAUGAAACGUAAAGUGUACCAUAGCAACACCUGCCAGAGAUUAUGUGGGUCACAUCUGACUGUGCUAUAUCGCUGGGUAUUUGUUUUUAUUUUUUGUCACGAGAAGUGCUGACAAGAAGAAGGGUAUCAUUAUAUUGAUAUUUAAUUGCAAACAAACAACGAAUUUUUGAGGGGUCGAGUCACGUCGAGAUAUUGCAAUAUUACAUGACGUCAUAGGUGAGGUGACGACGGUACAGUGAAAUAAAAAAUUAUUUCUGUCGUGAAUAUUUUAUUUAUGAUGUUUUCGUAAGUGUUGGCAGGAAAAAAACAUAAUUUUUGGGAAAUAUCUGGGGGGCAGUCACUCUCAGGUGAAUCAAAUUGUAGGAGUUGAAAUUAGUUGUAUUAGACGAUUAUGAGUCAACAAAUGACAUGGGAUAACGAUUCAAUAAUGAUUAUAAAUAUUUAUAAUUAAUCUGAAUUAUUUCACGUAAGAAAAUGAUAAAUUUGGGGAAUUGUUCAAGUCGUCAGAAGUUUUUUGUGAUUAUUUAGGGAAUAAUAAUUAGAUCGGUCAAUAUAAGUAUUAUAAUAUUUUGAAUGAAAACUUAACUUCCUGAAAAUAUCUCCCUUAGAGAAAUACCUUUUGAACAGGCAAUGGAGGGAGGGCUAAAAUGAAUGGAAAGGAGAAAAAAAAAUGAGCCGUCAUGGGACGCCUGGCAGAUGUGAAACAUCGUGUGUGUACAAGUAAUAUGCAUAAAAGAUAAUAUUAUUACAGGAAUUAAAUAUAGCCUAAUGAAAAAAUGAAGUAUUACGAGAUUCUUACAGUAAAUGGUAACUUUAUUUAAUAAACAUUUAUUUACAUGAUAUAAAAAUUCGAUAUUAGUAUCAAGUUGCCACAAUUUAAAUAUUUUCAUCUGUGGCUUCAAUAAUAGUUAUAUUCGAUUUUUCCUCUGCCGGUAUUACUGUGACGAUUGGUCGAUGAUAACUAAAGUACGUUACAAAAGUAUUGGAUGAAACACCAUCAAGAUAUCUCACAAAUACAGCAUCUAUUGUUGUUCCAUAUUUGGUAGUAGAUUCUUUUGGAUCGUUAUUGAUUUGCCAUUGAAAUUCUUUUUGAAGAAAUGUCAUUAAUGGCAUUGAUUCAGCUCUUGCAAAAUUUACACUGAAAUAUGCAGCUAAAAAUAAUGGUAGUUUAUGUUUAUUCGCUUUAAGAAUUAUUGAACCUGUUUGACUAUAAGGAAAUAACCUUUCAUGUAAAAAUGAAAUGAGAUGAUCCAUUUUGUUAUUAGGUGAAAUGUAUAUUACAAUCAUAAUUAAUUCACUUCCGUCUUGUAGUUUAACAUGUGAAGAACACACAUUUCCAAUAGAUGCAAUAGUUUAAAAUAGUCUGGUACUAUUCGAUUAAGGGGUUAUUCUCAUGUGAACGCCUAUAUUUUACCACUUUUUCGGAAUUUUUUUUUUAUGUGACAACAAACUUCAAUCAUGUUGAUUUUUCGAUAUAUUCUUAUUUGUAUUUUGAAAUAUACGAAAAAAAUUUUUUUUUUCGUUUUUUACAUUUUUAACAUAUAUUUUUUUUAAGUCAAAGUAGUCCCCAACAAAAAAAGGUAGUUCACUGGUCAAGGUGAUAGCGGCUGUUCAUGUUGUCUGACAUAAAAAAAUCGAAUGGAUUAUUAUUCAGUAGAUCUGUGGCUAUCGUCCCUACCAAAUAUAAUCAAUUUCAUUAAAAACAAAAAAAAAUAUCGAACUUCAAAAAAAAAAUCACGAAAAUCUCCUUCUUUUUCGUUACAAAUCGUUUAAAAAGAAUAUGAAGAUAUUGUCGAAAAUAAACAAUUGUGGUAGGGACGAUAACUAUAAAUGAGUAGAAGAACAUAUGUAAAUUUUAAAGCAAUCGGUUGAAUACUUUUUCUUGUAGGACCUUGACCGUUUCAGAAAAUGAUGAUUCGAGAAAAACGCGUUUAAAGUUGAAAGCCUGGUAGACAAUCGCUUACGACACGUCGGCGACUAUGAGCUGUAACUUAUCAAAUACUAUGAAUUUCGGUCUGAAUUUUUCACAGCAUGUUUUCAAUAGGUUUUACUGUCAAAAUAUCAAAAAAAAAAAAAAUCGAUUUUUUGAAGUGCUCACAUGAGAAUAACCCCUUAAUAAAGUCUGACACAACAUUGAUAGUAUGCCUUGUGUUUAACUGAUCAGGGUGACGUCCAGUUUCAAUAAUAAUAUUUUGUGAUCCUUCUGAUGAUUGUUGGGAACUGAAAUAUUUAAAACAAUAUGAUAUUGAAAUACACAAAAAAAAAAAAUUUAAGUGUGGCUUCAAUAUACUCAUGAACUCAAAUCUUAGUUAAUUAUUGCAAUAUAUGACUAAAGAUUUGCAAGUAUAAAUUUUAUUAAUAAAUUUUUCUAUAUUAAUUCCUUCAUGAAUAAUAAAAGAAUCCUUAAUUGAAGAUAAUAUUAAUAUAAUUUAUAUAAAUUAUUAAUAUGAUUAAUAUGAAUAUAAUUAAUUAAAUAUAAAAAUAUAAUAAUUACAUUUAUGGAGACUUGAAAAAUACGAUCUACUUACUGAUGACUUGGUAGUAUACCAUAGUGUAGUUUCACUUUCUUUG